CGACAGAGCAAGACUCCGUCUCAAAAAAGAAAAAAUAAUAAAUAAAUAAAUAAAAAUAAAAUAACAUAAAGAAAAAAUAAAAAUAAAAAACCUAUUUUAUACUUAUUGCCAAGUUGCCCUCCAGAACUAUUGUAACAACUUACAAUACCUAGUUUCCUGAAACCUCCUCAACACUAGAUAUUGUCUCUUCUUCAGUCUUUGGCAUAAAGUUUUCAAAGUAUGCCCAAGGAAGUAAUAAUUUUAUAGUUUUGAAGGAGUAGAAGAUUGUCCUUUUUGAAAAUUGGGAAGACUAGAUCUUGAUUAUAUCUACAUGAUAUUGUACUUGAGAAAUUAAAUCAGUAAGUAGUUUGGUGAGAGCCAGAGCCCUAAAAUCAAAAUAGACUUUGAAAAUUUAUGUCAGCAAGAGUUCUUCACCGUGAUUUAUUUAACUUAAGAACUUAAAGCUGCUAAAGGCACCAAGAGGAGGAUUUGCUCCAUGUUGGUUGAAGGGAAUGUUAAUGGCAAUGCAUUCUCUUUGUAGUAUUUCAUGUUAUUCUGUGAGAUUAUACGUGUGUGUGUAUGCGUGCACAAACUUGCUAGGAAAAUUCAGUUAUUUUUAGUUCUAGGAGGUGUAGUAUAUUAUAAGAACAAGAUUACUGUUUGAUUUUUUGUUUAUUUAUUUUUUGAGACAGGGUCUCACUCUGUCACCCAGGAUGGAGUGCAGUGGUGCAAUCUCGGCUCAAUGCAACCUCUGCCUCCCAGGCUCAAGUGAUCCUCCUGCCUCUGCCCAUUCACAGGAAACUAUACAAAUGAAUGUAUGGUCUGUCACCAAAGAAAUGACAAGCAAGACAAACACACAUCUAACUGGCCUGCUUUCGUUCACUACAUAAUCAUCAGUGAUAUUGCCCUAAGUAACCAAUUUCUGUGUCUCCUCUUGAGAAUGCAUAUGGCAGUAUAUUUAAAUGGUUAUUUUUUGUUUUGUAUGAUUGUUACCUUACCUUUGUAAUAAAGUUGUUAACAUGUUUUGAUGCUUUGUGUUUAACUUUUAUGUUUAUAUAUAUAUAUAUAUAUAUAUAUAUACAUAUAUAUAUAUUUAGAUGAAGUAGAACAAUUACCUCUGCAACUACAAAUGGAUUGCUGGUUAAAAGCAGGACAUUUAAAAAGCAAAUGUGAAGAUGGAAAUUGUAAUAUCGAUCAGGCUUACACUUUAAGAGAGACAUGCUGUAUUGAUCAAGCCCAGGAUAAAACCAGUCAUACUAUAAAGUACUAAAUGUGUCUUUAAAUUUUAUCGACCAAACUGACAGGGGUAUGCAAAAUGAAAGCCAUAUGCAGAAAAUUCUCUUCAAAGUCACUGUGAUGCAAGUUUACUUUUGUUUGGCAAUUCAGGGUCCCAGUGGAUUACAGCUACAGAUUAAAGUAUCAGGAAGAAAAUGAAAAUGUAAAGGCAUAGUAAUUUUUAAGAAAGCAUUAUUUACUUUUGGGAUUUGCUUUUGUGAUAGGAAGAAUGACCGAAUCUCCAAUGUGAUUGCUUUGCAGGAUACUUCUGUUCUGUGGCAAGUUAUAACACCAUUUUGAAAUAAAAUUUUGUGAAUCUAAAAAUAAGGAUUCCAGAUUCUUUCAUCAAUAUCUUGCAGCUCCUCCCUUCAAGAGGUGGAGUCUAUUUUCCCACUCCUUGAAUCUGGUCUUGCCUUGUAAUUUGCUGCGACUAAUAGUACGUUGCUGAAGUUACAUUGCGUAGACACUAGACCUUCAGUGGAGCGCCUGCCUUUCCUUCUUGGAAUGCUUUGAUCACCAUGUAAAGCCACCUAGCUACUGAAUGAUGAGAAACCAUGCAGAAAGAAUGGCGUAGCUAACAGCCAGCAACAAGGCCCAAGACAUAUGUGUGAAUCCAUUUUAGAUCCUCCGGCCCCAGGCAAGCCACCUGAUCAAUGCAAACACAGGAGUAAUCUCAGGCAAAACUAGCAGAAGAACAGCUCAGCUAACCCACAAAAUUAUUAAAAAUAAUAAGUUGCCUUCUUAAGUCACUGAUCUUUGGGGGUGGAUUGUUAUACAGCAAUAGAUAACUGAUACGACAUAGUAACAAACACGGGUGCAGGUCAGUAACAUUGUCUGAUAACACACUCUAAAGAGGAUUUAAGAAUGCAUCUAAAGAACUUGAGGUCCUGGUCAGAAAGCUGAGAUGAUAUGAAAUCUUUACAAAGAUUUCAUGCCUGAAACCUUUACAUCAGGCAUGAGCCACUGAGCCUGGCAUGUUAUAUGUCUUCUUAAGCACAACCGAUGAUACUGCAACUGAUGAUACUGCAAAUGCUUUUUAUUUUCGCUUAGUUUAUGGUAUAUUCCGGUAAGCAGAUAUGAAGAAGGUCUGUUAAACAGAUGACUCAUGGUAACCAGAAAGCAAUGAUAACAGUUAAAAUCAGUUUGCAAAUACUACUAAUGUAGGAAUGUCUUCAAUGAUUGUGUAAGGGCAGUGGUAGAGGGGAAAAGCACCAAAGGAUUGGUGGCUUAUGGAAAAGUUGUUGCCAAGAUGUAUUUAAUUACUCAUCAUGUGAGGUAUAAGACAAGCACUAGCGAUUAUAAAGAUUCUCACAUCUUUGCACACAGUAUUAGAUAAUGCCAUACAAAUUUCAGUUUUAUUAAAGCUUAAACUUUCAAUCGUAGGCUUUUCAGGAUAAUUUGUAGUGAUAUGCGCACUUAGUUCUAGAACCUGAACAAGCUUAUGUUUGUUUGGAAUUCAAGGUCCAAAAUGAGUUACAGCUAUAAAUUAAAGUGCCAGUAAAGAAAUGAAAACAAACUUUAGACUCAAUAUACAAACUAACAUAAAUCUCAUUUUUUUUGAAAAUUUCAGAAAAUAUCUGACAAAAUGAUUCCUCAGGCAUGUGGGAUUUUAGAAAAGAAAUCACUUAACAUGCCAUAAUUUAAUAAUAUAUGUUUGAAAGUUAUUUUUCCACCAAACAAUGGCAGCCUGAAAAAUCUGUUUACUGAUUAUCUCCACACUGAACACAUAAGUUAAUGUUUGUGGAUAAUAUUACUUAUUAAAUAUUGAAAUGUCAUUUUUCUUUCAAAUGCCUUUUUUGCUUUCCUCAGAUGUGUUAACUUGUCUUUAAGCGGGCCACCAUCAAUUUGCUCAACUCCGGGAUAGUUGAACCUAGGCAGGCCUUAGUGACUUGUUUAAGUAAUAGAAUAUGUUGAAAAAUAUCUUUGGAGCUUCUGAAGCUAGGUUAUAAGAAGACUUGGAGCUUCUGCCUACGCCUCCUGAAACACCUACUCUUGGACCCCUGAGCCACCAUGCAAGAAAGUUUAGUCCCUGCUGGAAUGAGUUCAUGGAGAGGCUCUGAGUCUGUAUGGAGAGGGAGACAGGCCUAGCUGAGCCUACCUACUACCUGUGCCCACUAAAGCAUCAGGCAUGUGAGUAUGGUCACGUUGACCACCCCAGACCAGGUCAUCUGUCAGUUGAGUACCACUGAAGAGUGACUCCGGUUAACAGCCACAUUGACCAAAAGAAUCAACCAGCCAGAUUUUGCCUCAAUUCCUGAAUUUCAGAAAUUGUCAUUUUAAGCCACUAAGUUUUAAGGUGGUUUGCUACAUUGUAAUAGAUAAUAGAACACUGAAGAGUAAUCUGAGACAACAAGGUAAGCUAUUAGAAAAUUAUUACCACUUCCAACUAUUUAUCUUGUGAAUCAGGCAACAGAAAUGGAGAAUACAAAAUACAGAAAUAAACUGGGCAUCCUGUCUGGUUUAAGACUACAUGUCUAAUUUAAGACUAUAGUUCACACUAAUAACUUCUAAUUUUCAAUUUCUUUGCAUUUAUAAAACAGCUCUAUUAUCAUUGAUCACUUGUAUAAUUAAUACAUAUUAUACAUUUGAAUUAAGGAUAAAAUUUUGCUAACAUUAUACCACUUUUAAUCCAUUUUAUACCUUGGGGUCUCUAAUAAUAUUCUAUUUGGAAUAUUCUAUUUGGGAGAUAGUAUUUGAGCUUAAAAAUCUUGAAAACCACCAAACAAAUAUUCUUAGUGUUUCCUUCUAGCUCUAAUAUUUACAAAAUGUGUUGCAGUGGGCAUGGUGAAUUUUGAGUCACAAUCUCUAUCAAGGGUAUCAAAAACAUUUUUCUUUGUGCUUAGACAGGGCAUUUGUCUUAGAAAGGAAAGCAGAAUCAUUUGAAAAUGGCACCUGCCCCAAUAGUGGUAAAAUCACUUCCAUUUUAUGAGCAUUUAUGGCUCAUUUAAAUCUCAGUCCACAGAAGAAAUUAUGUAAGAAAUGUAUGUUUAUUUUUCAAUAACCCAAUUUAAUUUCUAUUUGAACACCCACUCCUCCAGCAUGGUGGAGACUUAAUUGUGGUCAGUUUCCCCAUUUCUUUUACCUCCCUUUCCUUGGAUUGCAUUUAAGACCUGGCGUGCUUACUUAGUUCUAAGCCUUCACAGCUGAAGAGGACAUUUGAUCACACAUGCAUCUCUAGACACCUAUUGUCCCGUCUUGUCCAUGUAUGUUAUGAAUUGAAUAUUUGUGUUAUCCUCAAAUUCUCAUGCUGAAGCCCUAACCCAAUGUGAUGGUAUUUAGAGGUGGAGCCUUUGGGAGGUAAUUAGAUUUAGAUGAUGUUAUGAGAGUGGGCCCCAUGAUGGGUUAAUGUCCUUACGAGAAGAAUAAGAGAAACUGAAGCUCACUCUCUUUCUCUCUCCACCAUGUGAAGAUGUAGUGAGAAGGUGGCCAUUCCCAACCCAAGGAGAGAACCCUCACCAGAUACUGACCCUGCUGGCAUCUUGAUCUUGGACUUCAAGGCUCCAGAACUGUGGAGUUUCUCCCUUGUUACCUGGACUAGAGUGCAAUGGCACAAUUUCGGCUCACUGCAAUCUCCGCCUCCUGGGUCCAAGCGAUUCUCCUGCCUCAGCCUCCUGAGUAGCUGGGAUUACAGGCACCCACCACCACUCCAGGCUAAUUUUUUUGUAUUUUUAGUAGAGAUGGGGUUUCACUCUGUUGGCCAGGCUGGUCUUGAACUCCUGACCUCAAGUGAUCUGCCCGCCUUGGCUGCCCAAAAUGCUGUGAUUACAGGUGUGAGCCACCAUGCCAGGCCUUUAUAGAUGUUAAGACAGAAUAAAUGCCUUUAAUUUAUAUGAUUAAUAUGUAUGAUUUAAUCCAUGAUAAAUCAAAGCAACCGUUCCAUUUUAAAAGAUCAAGUUAGGUUAAGUGCAGAAGAAUUUGACUGAGAAGCUAUGGGAGCUUAAAGAUUCAUGGCCCUUCUUUCCAUGGCUCAUUCCAAAGUCCUGGGAAGCACCCUAGCAAGAUGUUCACACAACCAUCUAAUUUUGUAAAAUUUGCAAACUUUGAGCUGCAAUUGGUUAAGAUUGCUGCUUCGCUCAGACUUUCCCUCCUCAUGCUUACCCUGGUGUCUGGCAUUUGGGGGAUGGAGUUGGCAGUCACUUCUGUGUGUAAUGAGGCAUUUCUUCGAAAGAAUCACUUCUAGAAAACUUCUGCUGUUCACCUGGCAUUGUGACACAUAGGGGCAAGACCAAAAAUCAUGUUGUGAUAUGAGUGUGUCCCAAAGCACCCAGCCCUGAGGUAUGCGCACAGUAGAAAAGAAGAAAUGAUUUAAAAAGAUGAAGCGAGAACUAGUCUGUGGAAAAUUCUUCUAAUCUUCAGAAAUGUGGAAUUAGAAGCAGAGAAUUCCCUUAUCAUUACUUAAGCAAAAUGGCUAUUCUUUCCUCUCAGGAAUAUACUUAAUAAUGCAGAUUGUACAGAGGUAAAUACACUAUAUUUUUUCUGUUGUUGGAUGAGAAUCAUGCAAGAUAAAAUUUAUCUAAUUCCUGUGUUCAUACUUUAUAAACUCUAGGAGUUUUACAAAUAGCGAUCAUGUCUCUUGGCAUACUGCAGAGUACUUCCCAAUAUGUCAGAUCACUUACAGUGUCUGACAUAUUGUGUCCUUAUAAAGUUGAGCAGUUAUUAGCCAGGUGCAGUGGCUUAAGCCUCUCAUUCCAGUUACUCAGGAGGCUGAGGCUGGAGGAUCACUUCAGCCCAGUAGUUGCUAGCCUGGGCAACCUCGAGAGACCCUGUCUCAACAAUAAAAUAAAAAAUAAUAUAAAAUAAAGAUGAGUGGCUCUAGAUGAAACAGCACACAAAACUGCUAACAACGCAGCAAUACACUGAAAAUAAGUGCUCAAGUGACAUAAUUCUUACAAACACCCAUCAACUUAGUCAAUAUAUGUAGUAUUGGAGUAGUUUGAUUAUACAUUUAGGUAGCUCAAUAUAAUAUGGCAAUAAUUUAAAACUGUAUUUGAAUUCCUCUUGUGUUACACUUAAUUUUGUAUGGUUUUCCAGUGUAUGAAGCCAAAAAAUAGGGAAAACGCAUCUAUUAGAGAGGUUUAUUGGGCAAUUAAUAAAAUAUUAUGCUAUUUUUCUG
rnacentral:lncRNA from 10 species